AAACUACUCAUAAUGCUGAUAAUGGAUGCCUAGGAGAUUUUGGCCGAGGAAGGACGCAUAUAGCGGCGAUACUCGUCGGUGAGGUGCUAUAAACCUUUGACCCGGCGGUGUCCGAAUGGAGUAAUCCCACCUUUAUGGUGAGCCUUUCGUAAACAAAUUGAAUUUAUUCAGUUAAUAGCGAAAAGGCGGGGAACGGCGUGAACUGAAACAUCUAAGUAGCGCCAGGAAUAUAAAUCAAAUGAGAUUCCCUUAGUAGCGGCGAGCGAAAAGGGAGGAGUCUAAACUCUGAAUUUAUUCAGAGGGUUGCAGGGCAGACGAUAUUCGAUGUGGAAAUUGAUAGCAGAAGUGCUCGGAAUAGCACACCAUAGAUAGUGAAAGUCUAGUAAGCGAAAUCAAUUUCUCCGAUAGUCUGUUCCUAAGUACCAUGGGGUACGGUGAAACCCUGUGGGAAUCUGGGGCGGCCACGUUCCAAGACUAAAUACCAAAAUCUACCGAUAGUGAACUAGUACCGCGAGGGAAAGGUGAAAAGCACCCCGGGAGGGGAAUGAAAUAGAACUGAAAUUGUCAGCUAACAAGCAGUGAAAGUGCAGUAAUGUAUGAUCACGUGCCUAUUGAAGAAUGAACCGGUGAGUUAUUCAUGGCUCUUCGUCUAAGGAACUAAGUUCCGCAGGCAAAGUGAAAGCGUGCUCUAAAUGAGCGUUAAUAAGAGCUAUGUAUAGACCCGAAACCAGGUGAGCUUACCUUGAACAGGUUGAAGGUUGACGAGAGUCAGCCGGAGGACCGCACUCGUAUCCGUAGCAAUGGGUUGAGACGAUUUGAGGUAAGGGGCAAUAUGCCAAACGAACCUGGAGAUAGCUGGUUCUCCCCGAAAUAUAUUUAGGUAUAGCGCCUGUUUUACGUUUCCAGGGGUAGAGCACUGAAUGAAUUUCUAGGUCGCAAGAUCUAGACUUCAAUCAAACUCCGAAUACUGGAAAACAACUAGCAGGUAGUCAGUCCCGUCGGGCUAAGCUGAUGGGUCAAAAGGGAAACAACCCAGACUUUCGUCUAAGGCCUCAAAAUAAAGGCUAAGUUUUGAACGAAGUCACAAUUCAUAGACAACCAGGAGGUUGGCUUAGAAGCAGCCAUCCUUUAAAGAAAGCGUAACAGCUCACUGGAGGAUGAUUUGUGGCGCGGAAAAUUUAUCGAGGAUUAAGCCUUUUGCCGAAGACAGAGAAUUGAAAGAUUGGUAGGGGAGCGUUCUAUGCGCAGCGAAGCUGAACUGUAAGGUUUGGUGGAGUACAUAGAAGUGAGAAUGCCGGUAUGAGUAGCGAUAGCAUGGUAAGAAACCAUGCCGCCGAAAAUCCAAGGUUUCCUCCGCAAUGUAAGUCAGCGGAGGGUUAGUCGGCCCUAAGGGUGUUCCUCGUUAAAUGGGGGGUAGCCUGAUGGAUAAGCAGUUUAAAUUCUGCUACAAGAUAUGAAUAUGUAAGGGGAGGACGGAAGUGGAAGAGCUGAGCUGCGAGAGCAGUCCAAGUAACAAGAUAGUGUCGAUUGGCAAAUCCAUUGACAUGUUUAAUUGAGUUACUAAUGAAAGCUUAUUGAGAGAUAAGUUAUUCGGUAGCUUUCAGUUUCCAGGAAAAAUCUCAUUAUGACUAGUAAUAGUCAAAAUUCAUAUUUUACCGUACCGUAUACCGACACAGGUGGAUAGGUCGAGUAGACUAAGGCGAUCGGGAGAAAAUUGGUUAAGGAACUCGGCAAAAAAUCUAGGCGUAACCUUUGGGAGAUGCCUUGCCGCAAUUAGUUUUGCGGUUGCAACAAAAGAGUAUUUAGCGACUGUUUAUCUAAAACACAGGUCCCUGCAAAGCUGAAAAGCGAAGUAUAGGGGCUGACACCUGCCCAGUGCUGGUAAGUCAAGUAUGGAGAGUGAAGUGGGAGUAAUCUUAUAAGCUUUUUUUACAAGCUCCAGUAAACGGCAGCAGUAACUAUAACUGUUCUAUGGUAGCGAAGUUCCUUGUCGGGCGAGUUCCGACCCGCACGAAUGGUAGAACGACUAAAUAACUGUCUUAAUCAAUUACCCGGCGAAAUUGCGAUGGCUGUGAAGACGCGGCCUAGUUGUCCUUGGACAAAAAGACCCCGGGAGCUUUACUGUAUCUUGGCAUUUAUGAGUUUAUUUCAAUUGUUUAGUAUAGGAGGGAGAUUCGUCAUUAGUGAAAUACCUCUCUUUGGAAUGAGCAAGUAUCACUCUUAAGCCGCAUAAAAAUCCGGCAAGGGAACAGUGUCAGGUGGGCAGUUUAACUGGGGAGGUUGACUCCUAAAUCGUAACGGAGUUGUACAAAGGUUGGCUAAUCACGGAUGGAAAUCGUGAUUCAUUGUGUAAAGGCAUAAGCCAGCUUGACUGCGAGACCCACAAGUCGAGCAGGUACGAAAGUAGGUCUUAAUGAUCCUGUGAUGCGUAGUGGUACGCACACAGCUUAACGGAUAAAAGCUACCCCGGGGAUAACAGGCUGAUCGCACCCAAGCGUCCAUAGCGACGGUGCGGUUUGGCACCUUGAACAAAAAUCGGGGCGCCUAUACUGAGAAGUAUAUGCCUGGUUAUUCUAAAUUAAAACGCAGUUAGAGAAUGCGUUAGUAAUAAUAAAUCAACUAGUUAAUAUCGGUGGACACCAUUAUUAUGAACAAAUAUUGGUCAAUACCGAGGGAAGUCCGAUUAAAUCGGACCCCGUAUCGACUUUGUUUGGCCUCGAAAGCCAAACAGGAUAGAAGUUUUACUCCGAUUAAAUCGGAGAAUCUAUGGCUUCUAUAAUUAGACUAGCUCUUUUCGUGAUUGAAAAGAUGAAGGUAUAGUCAAUGCUCGUGGUAACACGAGAGUGCAUUCGUCAGUUGACGAAUCGCGAUGUCGGCUCAUCGCAUCCUGGGGGUGGAGAAGCUCCCAAGGGUCUGGCUGUUCGCCAGUUAAAGCGGUACGCGAGCUGGGUUCAGAGCGUCGUAAGACAGCUCGGUCUCUAUCCAGGAUGACCGUUGAUAUUUGAGGAGAUUCGUCCCUAGUACGAGAGGACUGGGAUGAGGGAAUCCCUGGUGUGUCAGUUGUUAGCACUGCUAGCAUCGCUGAGUAACUAGAUUCCCAACGGAUAACCGCUGAAAGCAUCUAAGUGGGAAGCCGCCUCCAAGAUUAGAUAUCGUUCCGUAAGGAUGAAGCCCCUUGUAGACCACGAGGUUGAUAGGCGGGCGGUGUAAGCACAGUAAUGUGUUGAGCCUACCCGUACUAAUGGCUAAUAAAGUAGUUUUU
rnacentral:rRNA from 1 species